AAAGAUGGGGUAGAACUUGCCGCAGCCGAAGUUGUUCCGAACAAAGAUGGGGUAGAAUUUGCCGCAGACGAAGUUGUGCUAAACAGGGGUAAGGGAGAACUCGCCACAGACGAAGUUGUACCAAACGGAGGCGAAGAACUUGCUACAGACGAAGUAGAAGCAGAACUUGCUACUGAUGAAGUUGUUCCAAAUAUGGGAGACGAGGUUGCUCCAAACAAUGGUAAAGACGUAGUUCCCCCAAACAAGGACGAGCCGGCACUUGAGGCCGCCGUUGACACUGCACCAAACAGAGGCGAGGCAGAACUAGCCGCAGAAGAAACAGUCCCAAACAAGGGUGAAGGAGAAGUAGUAGAGGAUGAAACAGCCCCAAAAUUGUUUGAACCAGAAAUUGCAGAGGAAUCAGCUUGCCCAAACGGCGAUGAGGUGGAACCAGACGCAGAGCCAAAUAGGGAUGGGACGGAACUGGUGGCAGCAGGAGAUGAACCAAAGGAGAACAAUAAAGAGGCAGAAGAAGCGGAGGAGGAUGAAGAGGUAGAGAGUCCGAAACCAAAUGAAGAAACGGGAGGAGCUGAGCUAGGGUUAGAGCUUGACGAGGUGUUGAAUGCAAACGAUAAUGAGGUGGAAGAGGAAGAAGAGGAUGAGGAGCUAGGGUUUGCAGAAGAGGAUGGGGAAGGGGAAGAUCCGAAAUGGAAUCUGGCACCAGUGGUUGCAGAUCCAAAUGAAGAAGCGGAGGAUUCCAAUGAGAAGGGAGAUGAAGAGGAUGAGGAAGAGAAGCCAGACAUCGUGGCGCUCUCCUCCCCUUUCUCUUUCAGCGGGAUUUCUGAGGUUCACUGUUUUGAAAAGAGGAUUUUUGGAGGGUUUGGCUGUUGAAAGGGUAAACCCUAUUCGAUUGAUGUAGGAC
rnacentral:misc_RNA from 1 species